rnacentral:rRNA from 1 species
CGCAAGCCUGAUCCAGCCAUGCCGCGUGAGUGAUGAAGGCCCUAGGGUUGUAAAGCUCUUUCAGUGGGGACGAUAAUGACGGUACCCACAGAAGAAGCCCCGGCUAACUUCGUGCCAGCAGCCGCGGUAAUACGAAGGGGGCUAGCGUUGUUCGGAAUUACUGGGCGUAAAGCGCACGUAGGCGGAUAUUUAAGUCGGGGGUGAAAUCCCGGGGCUCAACCCCGGAACUGCCUUCGAUACUGGGUAUCUUGAGUGUGGUAGAGGUGAGUGGAAUUGCGAGUGUAGAGGUGAAAUUCGUAGAUAUUCGCAGGAACACCAGUGGCGAAGGCGGCUCACUGGACCACAACUGACGCUGAGGUGCGAAAGCGUGGGGAGCA